UGGGGAAUAUUACACAAUGGGCGCAAGCCUGAUGCAGCCAUGCCGCGUGUAUGAAGAAGGCCUUCGGGUUGUAAAGUACUUUCAGCGGGGAGGAAGGGAGUAAAGUUAAUACCUUUGCUCAUUGACGUUACCCGCAGAAGAAGCACCGGCUAACUCCGUGCCAGCAGCCGCGGUAAUACGGAGGGUGCAAGCGUUAAUCGGAAUUACUGGGCGUAAAGCGCACGCAGGCGGUUUGUUAAGUCAGAUGUGAAAUCCUCGGGCUCAACCUGGGAACUGCAUCUGAUACUGGCAAGCUUGAGUCUCGUAGAGGGGGGUAGAAUUCCAGGUGUAGCGGUGAAAUGCGUAGAGAUCUGGAGGAAUACCGGUGGCGAAGGCGGCCCCCUGGACGAAGACUGACGCUCAGGUGCGAAAGCGUGGGGAGCAAACAGG
rnacentral:rRNA from 1 species